rnacentral:lncRNA from 1 species
CUCUAGCAUUGGAAAGCCAAAAACCAGGUUGUGUAAAUGUGGUAUGAAGUUAGCUCUCGUGCUCUCCCACAAGCCUCUCUUUCAUCCUCUCAUUUUUCCUUCUCCCUCAGCUUCUGAAGUCCUCUGCAGUUAGUGCUUGGCAUUACAGAACCAGCUACAAGACUAGAGCAACCCAGUGUAGAACGUCAGCUAUCCAGGCUCAGCUAGAAAGGGGACUACAAAGUGAACAUGUCCAGACGUAACUGUUCGGAGAACAUGUGGACAAGAGAAUCAGGAGCAGCAGAAGAGAAGCAGCUAACAAAAUAUUUCUUAAUACAUACCUCCAAACGAAGCCCUAUAAAUGGCAUAUUUGUAUCACACAUGGCUACAAUAUGAGCUAGGACUUUAUUGAAGGCACACAUUUCUCCUGUCCGUUUUGGUUUCUUAGGUUCUAUGGAACAUGGAUCACCAGACAACUUGCGCUUGACACCACUUUU